AGAGUUUGAUCCUGGCUCAGAACGAACGCUGGCGGCAGGCUUAACACAUGCAAGUCGAGCGCCCCGCAAGGGGAGCGGCAGACGGGUGAGUAACACGUGGGAACGUACCCUUUACUACGGAAUAACGCAGGGAAACUUGUGCUAAUACCGUAUGUGCCCUUCGGGGGAAAGAUUUAUCGGUAAGGGAUCGGCCCGCGUUGGAUUAGCUAGUUGGUGGGGUAAAGGCCUACCAAGGCGACGAUCCAUAGCUGGUCUGAGAGGAUGAUCAGCCACACUGGGACUGAGACACGGCCCAGACUCCUACGGGAGGCAGCAGUGGGGAAUAUUGGACAAUGGGCGCAAGCCUGAUCCAGCCAUGCCGCGUGAGUGAUGAAGGUCUUAGGAUUGUAAAGCUCUUUCACCGGUGAAGAUAAUGACGGUAACCGGAGAAGAAGCCCCGGCUAACUUCGUGCCAGCAGCCGCGGUAAUACGAAGGGGGCUAGCGUUGUUCGGAUUUACUGGGCGUAAAGCGCACGUAGGCGGACUUUUAAGUCAGGGGUGAAAUCCCGGGGCUCAACCCCGGAACUGCCUUUGAUACUGGAAGUCUUGAGUUCGAGAGAG
rnacentral:rRNA from 1 species